CUAUUAGCUUGUUGGUGGAGGUAAUGGCUCACCAAGGCGACGACGGGUAGCCGGCUGAGAGGGUGACCGGCACACUGGGACUGAGACACGGCCCAGACUCUACGGGAGGGAGCAGUGGGGAAUAUGCACAAUGGGCGAAAGACUGAUGCAGCGACGCCGCGUGAGGGAUGACGGCCUUCGGGUUGUAAACCUCUUUCAGUAGGGAAGAAGCCCCUUUUUGGGGUGACGGUACUUGCAGAAGAAGCGCCGGCUAACUACGUGCGAGCAGCCGCGGUAAUACGUAGGGCGCAAGCGUUAUCCGGAAUUAUUGGGCGUAAAGAGCUCGUAGGCGGUUUGUCGCGUCUGCCGUGAAAGUCCGAGGCUCAACCUCGGAUCUGCGGUGGGUACGGGCAGACUAGAGUGAUGUAGGGGAGACUGGAAUUCCUGGUGUAGCGGUGAAAUGCGCAGAUAUCAGGAGGAACACCCAUGGCGAAGGCAGGUCUCUGGGCAUUUACUGACGCAGAGGAGCGAAAGCAUGGGGAGCGAACAGGAUUAGAUACCCUGGUAGUCCAUGCCGUAAACGUUGGGCACUAGGUGUGGGGGACAUUCCACGUUUUCCGCGCCGUAGCUAACGCAUUAAGUGCCCCGCCUGGGGAGUACGGCCGCAAGGCUAAAACUCUAAGGAAUUGACGGGGGCCCACACAAGCGGCGGAGCAUGCGGAUUAAUUCGAUGCAACGCGAAGAACCUUACCAAGGCUUGACAUGUUCCAGACCGGGCCAGAGAUGGUCUUUCCCCUUUUGGGGCUGGUUCACAGGUGGUGCAUGGUUGUCGUCAGCUGGUGUCGUGAGAUGUUGGGUUAAGUCCCGCAACGAGCGCAACCCUCGUUCCAUGUUGCCAGCGGGUUAUGCCGGGGACUCAUGGGAGACUGCCGGGGUCAACCCGGAGGAAGGUGGGGAUGACGUCAACUCAUCAUGCCCCUUAUGUCUUGGGCUUCACGCAUGCUACAAUGGCCGGUACAAUGGGUUGCGAUACUGUGAGGUGGAGCUAAUCCCUAAAAGCCGGUCUCAGUUCGGAUUGGGGUCUGCAACUCGACCCCAUGAAGUCGGAGUCGCUAGUAAUCGCAGAUCAGCACGCUACCGAAGG
rnacentral:rRNA from 1 species